rnacentral:rRNA from 1 species
AUUGAACGCUGGCGGCAUGCCUUACACAUGCAAGUCGAACGGUAACAGGUCUUCGGAUGCUGACGAGUGGCGAACGGGUGAGUAAUACAUCGGAACGUGCCCGAUCGUGGGGGAUAACGAAGCGAAAGCUUUGCUAAUACCGCAUACGAUCUACGGAUGAAAGCAGGGGACCGCAAGGCCUUGCGCGGACGGAGCGGCCGAUGGCAGAUUAGGUAGUUGGUGGGAUGAAAGCUUACCAAGCCGACGAUCUGUAGCUGGUCUGAGAGGACGACCAGCCACACUGGGACUGAGACACGGCCCAGACUCCUACGGGAGGCAGCAGUGGGGAAUUUUGGACAAUGGGCGAAAGCCUGAUCCAGCCAUGCCGCGUGCAGGAUGAAGGCCUUCGGGUUGUAAACUGCUUUUGUACGGAACGAAAAGACUCUGGUUAAUACCUGGGGUCCAUGACGGUACCGUAAGAAUAAGCACCGGCUAACUACGUGCCAGCAGCCGCGGUAAUAC